AGUGAAGUGCCUGAAUAAAGGACAAUCUUGAUAGGAUUGAUCAUGUGGCCCCCCGCCUUCACUA
rnacentral:tRNA from 1 species